UACGAAGAAUUUUGGACAUUUGUCAAAGUGGAAAACAUUUUGGAGUACACCUACCUAACUCUUCUAUCUCCUACUAUUGACAUUUCCCCACUCGUGUUCCUUCCUAUCUCCCAUGAGCCAAUUGCUGUGUUCUUCUGUCUGCCCCUCAGGACGGAUGGCUCUAUACAUUUCAGACAGCGUCCAUACCAUGGGCAGCAUACACUAGGAUUAAUAUUUAAAUGUUAAUGUCUUAGGAAGACCGCAUGUGUAGGUCUUAACCUAAGCCAGUAAACAGUCUCUGUUCUCUCCUGUGGAUAUCAGUCUUCCUUGUCUCUGUUCUUGAGUGUGCUUAGAGUUUCCAACAAGUCUGCACCAGGUUCCCUGGCCCACAAACCUUAUGUUCCGGACAGGACUUGCUGUGAACUCCCAGGCGCUAUAACCAUUCGCCUCCUAUGCCUGUACAUAGCAGGAUUAAACUUGGAGACAACAGUUCUGUCCACUGAGGGGUGGGCAAGCCUUAGAGCAGUCUCCAGCUUUCCCCCAGUCAUGUCAGGGAAAACUGCCGUCUGCCUCCAUCCUGUGCCCACCCUAUGUGGCCAGCUCUGCAGAACUGAAGGGGUUUGCUCAGGUUGGAUGGAUCGGAUGGGUAGGACCAAAUCACAGGCCAACCCUGAGUGCUCUUAGGUUGUAACCUUAGGCUUCCAGUGUAACUGAACACUUCCUUUGUGCCCUUAGAAGGACUGUAUUUAUUUUCUACCAAUUACAAUUUUAGUUUUAGACAUUUCACAGUUCUCUUCCCGUGGUCAUUUGUUGUUUUGCGAUGCUCCAUGUAGCUCAGGUGAGUCAAUUCUACCACGCAGCCAAGGGUGACCUUGAACUCCCCCGAUCCUCCUGCCUCCACCUCCUGGUGCUGGGAUUACAGGCAUGUACCACCAUGCCAAGCUAUGAAUAAAUUGUAGUUUUAAUUACGUCCAAAGCAAUUGCUAAAAUCUCACUGCACUGUUGAACACCGACUCAUGCAGGGUCUGCCUGAUUGUUUCACUAUUGCAAAUGGUGUUCCCAUCACUGACUCGCCCAUGCACUCUCUACCUGAUGCUUUUUUUUGUUUAAGAAAUGACUCCAUAUGUCAGGGAGAGCGAUAUUGAUUGUCUUAGGGCAAAGCCCUAUUGGGAACAAACCCUCCUGGAAGUGGCUGGUCGGUCGUUGUUCUGCCUUCUUCUGGUUAUCUGAUCACCCACCAAAGGUUCUGUAAGCCAGUGUGUCAUUUUGUAAGUCUCAUGUUGACUCUGUUCACCUGUCUUCCCGCCCCCCCGCCCCCUCCCCCCGCAUGGGUUUUGUGUGUCGUCUUUGAAAUGCCUUAUUGGGUAUGCCAGGCUCUGCUGUCGAGCAUCCCAGCUGUCUGCUGAGACAUACAUAUCCUCCCUGGGAUGUGCUCUUGAUCUGGAAGCAACACUGACCUAGCUUUCAGUAUCAAGGGUGCAUUUUAACACAGCUAUUGUCUUAAGUUAGAAAUGAAGCAGGAAGCCGAGAGAGUGUGGAACCCUUCAUGUGAUCAGUGUGGUGACCUGUAAAUGUGCUUUUGCUGUUUCACUGGAAGGGACGCAGCUAAGAAACGCCAGUCCAAACCCGAAAGUGGGGCUGUGUCAUAUAUCACGCCCUCCACUUGUCACUUGGCCAUUGAGAAUCUGAGCAGGCCAUCGGGCAGUGGGCCAGUCUCUAUGUUCUGGGGCUACAGAGCUGACUGACGUCACCGGAUUCAAACCAAUCAACUGUGAAUUGUGAAACUGAAGUUGUUCUUUCGGUUUUUAUCUCCCUCAGCCUAUUAAGUGUAGAAGUCCGAAUGUCAUUUAAGCUUAGACCACUUAUGUUGGCUCAUCUUGGCUGUGUACUCUCAUGUAUGUACUGAUUUCUGAUAAAGGCUUGAUGAUACUGUAACGGACUUUCUGUGUUCAGUUCAAUAAAACAGUUUCUGAGUCUCAUCUCAAAA
rnacentral:lncRNA from 1 species